rnacentral:rRNA from 1 species
CGGCAACAGCUCAAAUUUGAAAUCUGGCUCUCGGGCCCGAGUUGUAAUUUGUAGAGGAUGCUUCGGGCGUGGCCCCCAUCUAAGUGCCCUGGAACGGGCCGUCAUAGAGGGUGAGAAUCCCGUCUGGGAUGGGUGGUCCUGCCCGUGUGAAGCUCCUUCGAA